UGCAGUCGAGCGGCAGCGGAAUUAGCUUGCUACUUUGCCGGCGAGCGGCGGACGGGUGAGUAAUGUCUGGGAAACUGCCUGAUGGAGGGGGAUAACUACUGGAAACGGUAGCUAAUACCGCAUAACGUCGCAAGACCAAAGAGGGGGACCUUCGGGCCUCUUGCCAUCAGAUGUGCCCAGAUGGGAUUAGCUAGUAGGUGGGGUAACGGCUCACCUAGGCGACGAUCCCUAGCUGGUCUGAGAGGAUGACCAGCCACACUGGAACUGAGACACGGUCCAGACUCCUACGGGAGGCAGCAGUGGGGAAUAUUGCACAAUGGGCGCAAGCCUGAUGCAGCCAUGCCGCGUGUAUGAAGAAGGCCUUCGGGUUGUAAAGUACUUUCAGCGGGGAGGAAGGUGUUGAGGUUAAUAACCUCAGCGAUUGACGUUUCCCGCAAAAGAAGCACCGGCU
rnacentral:rRNA from 1 species